rnacentral:rRNA from 1 species
CUACGGGCGGCAGCAGUCGAGAAUAGUCUACAAUGGAGGAAACUCUGAUAGUGCGACGCCGCGUGGACGAAGAAGCAUUUCGGUGUGUAAAGUCCUUUUCUUUGUGAGCAAUGGUUUGUAUUUUAAUAGAAUGCAGAACGAGAUAUUAGCAGAGGAAUAAGCUCCGGCUAACUCCGUGCCAGCAGCCGCGGUAACACGGGGGGAGCAAGCGUUGUCCGGAAUCACUAGGCGUAAAGGGUAAGUAGGCGGAAGCGAAAGUCAGAUGUUAAAGGCACCGGCUCAACCGAUGUACGGCAUUUGAAACUUCGUUUCUAGAGUAAGGUGGGGGAAGAUGGAAUUCCUGGUGUAGCGGUGGCAUGCGCAGAUAUCAGGAAGAACACCAGUGGCGAAGGCGAUCUUCUAUACCAUUACUGACGCUCAAUUACGAAGGUGUGGGUAUCGAACAGGAUUAGAUACCCGGGUAGUC